CCUGGUGGUCAUGGCGGGGCGGCCGCACCCGUUCCCAUUCCGAACACGGCCGUGAAACGCCCCUGCGCCAAUGGUACUUUGUCUUAAGACACGGGAGAGUAGGUCGCCGCCAGGU
rnacentral:rRNA from 1 species